UCGGGAUGAAAAUAGUGGAAAGAGCGGCGGACGGGUGAGUAACACGUGGGCAACCUACCUAUAAGACUGGGAUAACUCGCGGAAACGUGAGCUAAUACCGGAUAAUACUUUUUAUUGCAUAAUAAGAAGUUUGAAAGGCGGCGUAAGCUGUCACUUAUAGAUGGGCCCGCGGCGCAUUAGCUAGUUGGUGAGGUAAAGGCUCACCAAGGCAACGAUGCGUAGCCGACCUGAGAGGGUGAUCGGCCACACUGGGACUGAGACACGGCCCAGACUCCUACGGGAGGCAGCAGUAGGGAAUCUUCCGCAAUGGACGAAAGUCUGACGGAGCAACGCCGCGUGAGUGAAGAAGGUUUUCGGAUCGUAAAACUCUGUUGUUAGGGAAGAACAAGUCAGGUAGUAACUGACCUGACCUUGACGGUACCUAACCAGAAAGCCACGGCUAACUACGUGCCAGCAGCCGCGGUAAUACGUAGGUGGCAAGCGUUGUCCGGAUUUAUUGGGCGUAAAGCGCUCGCAGGCGGUCUUUUAAGUCUGAUGUGAAAGCCCACGGCUUAACCGUGGAGGGUCAUUGGAAACUGGAGGACUUGAGUGCAGAAGAGGAGAGUGGAAUUCCAUGUGUAGCGGUGAAAUGCGUAGAGAUAUGGAGGAACACCAGUGGCGAAGGCGACUCUCUGGUCUGUAACUGACGCUGAGGAGCGAAAGCGUGGGUAGCGAACAGGAUUAGAUACCCUGGUAGUCCACGCCGUAAACGAUGAGUGCUAGGUGUUAGGGGGUUUCCGCCCCUUAGUGCUGAAGUUAACGCAUUAAGCACUCCGCCUGGGGAGUACGGCCGCAAGGCUGAAACUCAAAAGAAUUGACGGGGACCCGCACAAGCGGUGGAGCAUGUGGUUUAAUUCGAAGCAACGCGAAGAACCUUACCAGGUCUUGACAUCCUUUCGACCUCCCUAGAGAUAGGGAUUUCCCUUCGGGGACGAAAGUGACAGGUGGUGCAUGGUUGUCGUCAGCUCGUGUCGUGAGAUGUUGGGUUAAGUCCCGCAACGAGCGCAACCCUUGAUCUUAGUUGCCAGCAUUAAGUUGGGCACUCUAAGGUG
rnacentral:rRNA from 1 species